rnacentral:lncRNA from 1 species
AGAGGCCAAAGCCCAAGCUGCCAGAAAAAUGUCUCCGCUCUUCUCCUUCCAGCACCAUGGCUCCUCACUGGAUAGGGCUGGGUAGACCCACUUUCUGUCUCUGGAUAUGCAGCUCUUGAUCUUCUGAGCUGCUUGACAGCUAUUUUCAAAGUCGUCUCGAAGGGUCCUUUUGGGAGUGAAAGGAUGCUGCUUUUCACCAGCUCAUAAUAUCAGAAAGGCUGUCUCAGGGCUGUGCUUUGCUGACAGAACAGCUUGACGCAACCUGAGGAUGGGAUGCUGGAUCUGAUUCGGAGAGGCUGCCCUGAACCCGUGGGGAUGGUCCAUGUCUGGGUGCCUUGUAGUCUGACAGUCCUGGAACAUCAAUGCAGGCUUUUAAAAACACCUGAUGAAAGCCACUCUGAGAAGGAAGGGUUUAUUCUGGCCUAUAGUCUGAGGGUGCAGUUUGUCAUGGUGGCUGGAGAUUGAAGCUGCUGGUCACUGUAUCUGCAGUCAGGAAGAAGAGAGAGAAGAUUCGGGGAUGCCUUGCUUUCUUUUGUGUGUAGCUAUGGACGCCAUCACAUGGGACCACACUACCUGAAUGUAACCACAGCCACUCUGAGUUCACUUGUGCAACGGCUGUGGCAUGUUGAGAUGACAGCAUUUUGCGGCCCCCUUACCCAUUCUCUGGCCCUUACAGUCUCUGGUCCCCCUUUUUGCUAUGUUCCCCGAGCCUUGAGGUGGUCGAUGUCAAUUUCUAGAAUGUAGGAAGACAAGAGAGAAGACUGCUGCAUGGGAGAACCCCAGAAACCUUUUGGGGUUCUUGCCAGGAUUGUGUACUUGAGUGGUGACCAAUAUGUAUGGUUAAGGAAACUACCUGAGGCCGGGAAGAACCAAACAAAGGAUGGAAGAGGACAAUAGCUGCUGUAUACACGGUACCUGUUUCUACUUGCUGGACCUGCUGGACCAGGAUACUCAGAACACCGAGUCGGAUACUCGGAAAAGCUGUCGUUGCUAGUAGAGUGAGCACUGCUUUGGCCCUAACAAAUAUUCAAAACAAGAUCCCCAGAGAUAAAUAUUUACUUUUAUAAGUUACACAAUUGUGCCAGAAUAAUAUAAAAAAUAUUUACAGAAUACAAAGAACAAUGCUGAAAUUCUC